rnacentral:rRNA from 1 species
GCUGGAAUCGCUAGUAAUCGCGGAUCAGAAUGCCGCGGUGAAUACGUUCCCGGGUCUUGUACACACCGCCCGUCACACCAUGGGAGUCGGAAAUGCCCGAAGUCUGUGACCGAACCGAAAGGAAGGAGCAGCCGAAGGCAGGUCGGAUGACUGGGGUGAAGUCGUAACAAGGUAAC